UUGUGAAACUCCGUCGUGCUGGGGAUAGAGCAUUGUAAUUAUUGCUCUUCAACGAGGAAUUCCUAGUAAGCGCAAGUCACUAGCUUGCGUUGAUUACGUCCCUGCCCUUUGUACACACCGCCCGUCGCUACUACCGAUUGAAUGGCUUAGUGAGGAGUUGGGAGGGUUAGCGGGGGAGGGCGACCUCUUCUGCCGAGCCAAACUUCUUCAAACUUGGUCAUUUAGAGGAAGUAAAAGUCGUAACAAGGUUUCCGUAGGUGAACCUGCGGAAGGAUCAUUAAGAUACUAGCACACCAUUGUUUAACAACACACGUAAAUAUUAUGAUAUCAACAACAAAACAAAACUUUCAACAACGGAUCUCUAGGUUCUCGCAUCGAUGAAGAACGCAGCGAAAUGCGAUACGUAAUAUGAAUUGCAAGUCUUGUGAAUCAUCGAAUCUUUGAACGCACAUUGCGCCGUGCGGCAUUCCGCACGGCAUGCCUGGAUGAGCGGGACACCCUCUCGCAAGGUGGUGGGCGCUAAGGAGCCAUCCUUUCGCCUCAAAGCCGGUGGAGCUUAUCGUACUACGUCUCGUUAACACUCCACAACCACACCUUCCCUCAUCUCAGGUAGGACUACCCGCUGAACUUAAGCAUAUCAAUAAGCGGAGGAAAAGAAACCAACAGGGAUUGCCUCAGUAACGGCGAGUGAAGCGGCAAAAGCUCAAUAUUGAAAGCCACGGCAUUGUAAUGGGGAGUCUUGGAGCAGCUACCGUCUAUGUUCGUUGGAACACGACGUCACAGAGGGUGAGAAUCCCGUGCGAUGGUAGCGUAACCGCAUAGUCUCCCCGCACGAGUCGAGUUGUUUGGGAAUGCAGCUCUAAGCGGGAGGUAUAUUUCUUCUAAAGCUAAAUACUGGCGAGAGACCGAUAGCGAACAAGUACAGUGAUGGAAAGAUGAAAAGCACUUUGAAAAGAGAGUGAAACAGUACGUGAAAUUGUUGAAAGGGAAGGGUAGGCAAUCAGAGGGGAGGGUCAGGUGGGGGACAGAGACAAGAGCAGAACGAUGCGGGUUUCCGUAUUGCCUGUGGAUAUCUGUGCCCCGCCUGAGGCCCGCUUAUAGGACUCUCCCAUAAUGAUUGUCUACCACCCGUCUUGAAACACGGACCAAGGAGUCUAACGUCUAUGCGAGUGUUUGGGCAUUAAACCCACACGCGAAAUGAAAGUAAAAGAUUGGAGCCUCGGCGCACAAUCGACCGAUCCCGAAGUGUUCGGAAGGAUUUGAGUAAGAGCAUAGCUGUUGGGACCCGAAAGAUGGUGAACUAUACCUGAAUAGGGUGAAGCCAGAGGAAACUCUGGUGGAGGCUCGUAGCGGUUCUGACGUGCAAAUCGAUCGUCGA
rnacentral:rRNA from 1 species